GAUGUGUGGUGAGGGACUGGACUCACGCAGGAGGGUGACGUUAUCAGGCGUCGUGGUGUCGUCGAUGGCAGAGAGGCCGGGCAAGGUGGUGCAGCAGUACAACACUGAAGAUGGAUUGGUGGCAGGUGGCUGCGGCGGCCUCAUACCCGGCAGGCGUCCUGGUUGAGGAGUGCGCCGGACUGGUAGGUGCCCCAUACCCGGCAGGCGUCCUGGUUGGGACCUCAGGUCUUAGAUGUUUAGAUUUGGCUGCGAUGUCUGUUUGGUAUUAGGCCCAGACUAUCAGCGCCCCUUCAUCAAUUGGAUAGGAGUAGCGACAGUUAUUGCUUAGACGGUGGCUUUAGUCUUACUGUUGUAUGACUUUGUAAGGUCUUGUGAGAAUAAUUAAUAAAGUGGCCGUAUGCAUCGCCCAAAUGCAGAGGCCGGGGGUCUCCUCCUUUUCUAAAAAAAAACUAAAGAGUUCAGUUUAAUAUCCACCGAAAAAUGCACUGUAAAAAUCUUUAUGUCCACUAAGAAUUACAAUGUAAAAUCCACUAAAAUUACACUAAGAUUUGCACUGUAAAUACCGCUAAAAAUAUACUAACAAUCCAAAUAAUUUGUACUAAAUAAUUACACUAAGCAUUUAAGUGGAAAUCCACUAAGAAAAACACUGUAAAUCCAGUAGGAACUGCAGUGUAAAUCCACUUAGAAUUACACUGUAAAUCUACUUAGAAUUACAGUGAAAUCCACUAAAAACCACUGUAAAUACAGUAGGAAUUAUAGUGUAAAUCCACUUAGAAUUACACUGGAAUCCACUAAGAAAAACACUGUAAGUCCAGUAGGAAUUACACCAUAAAUCCAUUAAGAAAAUGCACCAUAAACACACCAGCAGAGAGGGCAAUUCCUCCAUGAUCUGGGACACAAAUCUGGCUGGAGAUGCAGAAAAAACACAGGUAAACACCCAACUCUUAUGCAUUCACUCCUCCAAGAUCUCUCUCCUACCUCAUGACAUCUGAAAGAAAAACAAGCUCUCUGUGAGGAUCAUUCACAUAUGUUGAAGAGCACAACUUAACAGAAAAAGAUUAGAACACAGGCAGAAAAGAUAGCAUGAAGCAGGAGAAACCCUAGAAACAACUAGACUAUGAACACACAAACUACUAGUCUAUGGUCACAGGAAUAACACCUUGGAACACUACAUUCUGAAAACUAGUUGCAAAAUUAGUGCUGUGAAAUUCGCAGCUAUAGCCACAACACUGGGCCAAAAAGAAGUUUGGGGAUGAGAGGGGGCAUGUUCAGGAAGCUAUGAAUUCCAUUUAGGAAAAACUUGUUCAAACAAAAAGAGUAGUACUGCUGUAAUUUCAGAAACUUUGAUGCUGAGAAACUGUGCAUUGUUCAGAUACUUUUGAUCAUGUUUAGACACUUGUAUCUGUGAACCUAUGACUGUAUUUUAGACAUGGCAGAUUAGAUUUCAGUAUAAAGCUGUGAAUACAUGACUGUAUUUUAGAAACAAUGGUACUGUACAAAGUUAUAGUUCAAAUUACUAUGAUCUGAUACUAGUUCACAAUGACUAAUCUGCCAUGAAAAUUAACAGUGAAAAUAAAUGAUCACAAAAAAGACUGAGGACAAUCAGGUUAAGCACUGACACUAGUUGACACUAACAAAAGAAACUAUAUACUGAAAUCAAAUUAUUGUGACUUGUUUGAUCAAUUUACUCUGACCUUCUCUAUGUAAUUACUCUGCAUCCUACCUUGUAAAUUACAAGCUCUGAUUUGCACAUAAAUAGAAGAAAUCAGAAACUUGUGUAUGAAGAGACUACUAGAAUUGACACAAAUAACUCUGGUUUCAGAGACAAAACUGUACAAAAAUCCUUGCCAAUGACUUGCAACAUGCUUUACUGCAUUUCUGAUCUACUUGUUGCACCCUACAUAUGCAUAAACAUACAUACAUGCAAAAAAGGACAAAUGGGGACAGCAGAAAUGCUCUUGUUUAUUCUACAACACUUCAUUACUUAUACUUUCUGAAAACAUUGAGUGCAGGUGCCUGCAAUCGAAUCAGAUGCAAUGGAAUAUAGCAUCAAAGGGCAGUCACCGUAUCUCGAAGAGAGUAUGACAAAUGGACUAUUCAAAAGGGGAGUGGGGGCUAAAUUCAGGGCAACAAGCUUCCUAAGAGAGUAUGACAGGCUAAUAGAAGUCAUUCAUGACAGGGAGCAAGAAUGUGAUCACUUGUCUAGAAGCAAAAAGGAUGCACACAAGAAGUUCUGGUCCAAAUACAGUUUAGAAAGACAAGUGCAUGAGCUCUACAAUAUUCGCAUCUUCAGGAAGUUCCAAAAGAAAAUGGAAGAUACAACGAGGCUGCAUGUGUUUGAGCUUGAAAAAGGAAAAAACCUACAUGGUUUAUCAAGCUGAGACCUAGCAUUCGAAAGGAACUAAGAAGAAGAAAGUUCCUAGUACAGAUAGAUUUGAUGCAAGAGAAGUACUCAUGCAUGAUGCAUCUGCUGCGCAUUUCACAAGGAUGGAAUCCUAUCCUGACACAUACUCAGAGUGUUGAUCCAAUUGAACGUAGAGAGGAUACCAGACAAGUAUAUCAUAGACAGAUGGAGGAAAAAUGAUCACAUGAUACACUCAACCAAGCCUCCUCCCAUUUUUGAUGGAAACUCAACACUGAUGUACAAUGUGCUGCAAAGGAAACUCGUCUAUGUGGCUUCUCUGAACAAUUUACACUACCAUCAGGUGAAAUAACAAGGGGUCCCUGCCCACAAGCCUUACAUGACAUAAAUGUGAUAAAAAAAUUUACAGUAGAAUUACACUGCAAUUUAGCUUGGAAAAAUACAGUACAUAGACUGCAGGAACAAAAAUUCAGGUUAAUUACACUUAACACACAGGUUAAACACUGAGUGUAAUUACAUUGCAAAUUACACUGAAUUUACAGUGUAAUUACACUGCAAUUUAGACUGCAAGAUUUUAGUACAUAGACUGUAACUACAAAAAAAUAGGUUAAUUACACUGAAAAUUACAGUGUAUUUACAUUGCAAAUUAGACUUGAAAGUUUCAGUGCAUAGACUGUAAGUACAAAAAUUCAGGUUAGUUACACAUAAUAAACAGAUUAAAGUGUAAUUACACUGCAUGUUAGACCGAAAAAUUCCAGUACAUAGGCUGUAAGUACAAAAAUUACAGGUUAGCUACACUAAUUUAUAGUGUAAAUUAAUGGUGGGGUUAAGCCCUUGUUCAGUUUAACACAGAUUGGAGGUUACAAGAAACAAAAUUACAGUGAGAGAAGUCUAUAUACCUGAACCAACAGUAAAAAAUAUCACUGUAAAUUUGAACUGAAAACAACAUUUGUGCUAAUACAUUUACACUAGACUAAAAAAUGAAACUAUACUGAAAAUCCACUCAAAAUUACACUAGAAAUUACAGUCCGAAACACUGAAACUACAACAGAAUUUUUUUUCAGACCAACACGUACACAUCACGAGACUCAACCGACUAGGAGAUUCAACAUUUGCAUGCCUACAUCUAUCAUCAUUAAAUUAUUUUCUCUAUGUACUGAAAAAUUCAGUUAAUGUACCACCAUGUAAACAAAAGUAUAAAACAAUGGAAGCACACAAUUCAGUUAAAUGUACCACCAUCUACACUGUAAGUUACACAGAGAUAUCAGUGAAAUUUAAAUAGAGAUAUCACUAUAGUACAGACCAAACAACUGUUGCUUAAUUGAAGAAAUUCAGUCCAGAAUAAAACCUAAAUAAUACAUUUACACUUGCCAUUUACAGUGAAAAACCAGUGUAAGAUAGACUACUAUAGACUGAAACUAUAGUAGAGAUAUCACUGUAAAAUUAAACCAAACAUUACACUUACAAUGGCCAUUCACUAGCCAAACAGCUGUUACUUAAUUACAGUGAAAUCCACUCAAAAUUAUACUGCAGUAGUACAGACCAAAUAACUAUUACUUCACUGAAGAAAUUCAGUCCAGAAUCAAACAACAGGUGAAAAGCGGAGUAACCAUACAUCCACAUCAGAAAUUACACUAGAAAACCACAAAUGUACAUUAAAAACAGGCUAGACCAGACAAACAUCAAGCUACCACACUAGCAGCCGCCAAUGGAUCAACACCGCCAAUUCAAAGCCCGCCACAGGAAAACUACAUCUACAUUCGGAAGAAGAAAUCAAAAUAGACAAGAGGGAUCCACCGCUAAAUUUACAUGUGCAACAAAAAACACCACACACGACAAAUGCAAGCAGACGAAUACAACAAGACAAUCAACCAGAUCUAGCAAAUCGCACAGAAAAAUGAAAGGGAAAAUGAAAAAGGGGGGAGGGGGUGCUUGCAAACCAACAACCUCAGGUAGGGGACGGGGGGAGAGACGCAGGGCUUGCGGACCACCACGAAAGAAGGAGCGUCACGAAUCAAACGACCCGAGAAGAAACCGCAGCCAAAUCGCCAUGGCGUCGACUUGGCCUCUCCCGCUCUCCCUGACAAGAACAAAGGUGAAUCAAAUCAGAGCGCGAGCUUGGAGAUAAGCAACCAGGAGAGGAGGGGGAAGAACCGCGGGCCUGACCACCAAAGCGCCUCGAGAGAUCAGCGAGUGAGGCCUCCAACCGAAAUCGCCAUGCCUCUCUGCCUCCGAGCUCUCGCCGCUAGAAAUGGGGAAUGAUCCAGUCAAAGGCAGCUACAGGGGGAGAAAAGGAAAAAUUCAAAAUAAAAGGGACAUGUCGAC
rnacentral:lncRNA from 1 species